rnacentral:lncRNA from 1 species
CGGACGUGAACUGGAAUCGUUGAGAUAGUGCCCCAAUGCUUACCAGUUCGGAUGGCAGCAUCCAGCAGAAUUCCAUUUUGGGAAGCUUAUGUAAUCAUCAUUUUAGAAAUUUAUCAGACAAGGCCAAUACUAGCACUCCCAGACAGGCUAUCUACUGUAGCUGUGAGAUCUCAUGGCAAACCUGGACAGACAGACUUGGUUCAAAUCAACAACUCAACUUGUUAACUCAACAGAUGAUGGCACUAUGUGGCCUUGAUUUGAAAACUAAUUAAAAUUACAGUUUAUUCAGAAUUAUUACACUAGAGGUUAAUUUGGCU